ACAGACUUAAGUCAUUGACUUGUGUCUUUUUCAAAAUAAACACAAAUUAAUGCCAUCUUGUGCGAAAUGUAAGAACUAUGAAUCAUAAAUAUACAAGUAGCCAAUAACAGUGAGUUGAAGGUUGUUGUUUUGCAUUCACUACAUUAAUCACUUUGUUUUGUUCCUGAUUUUUCGAAAUAUAUCAAUAUUGUAUUUAAAUAUCUUCAAGUGAGUCUAUUGCCAAUAUUCUUUGACAUGAAUCAGAGAAAAGAGAGAGAGGUGUUCAAAGAAUAGAAUCUUACAGCCAGUUCAAAAUUAAAAGUGCAAAGCUUCAUGGCAAAUCUUAUAUUAGCUACUCAGGUAAAGAGAUGGGUGCUAGACGUUCUAAUUGUGAAUGUAGCUGUCGUCGUAGGUGUUUUGAAAUAUUUAAUGAGGAUGCCUGCACACCAAUUCUCACUAAAAUGAACAAUUUUGAAACGAAAGAUAUUCAAGAUGUUUAUCUUCAAGGUUUGAUUGAGUUAGUGCCAGUUAAAACAGACCUAGGAAAGAAGAACCCAAGAGUAGAAAAUAUUCAGUAAUAUACAAUGCUGAGAAAGAAGGUAGAAAAGUUCAGAUAUGUAAAAAGGCUUUCCUUAGCAUUCAUGAUGCAACCUCAAAACGAAUGGAGAGACUAAUUUUGCUGUUGAGGUCUGGAAACUCGCCCAAAGAUGGACGAGGGAAAAAUGCAAAUAGCAGAACAACAGCUAAGCCCC
rnacentral:lncRNA from 1 species